rnacentral:lncRNA from 1 species
AUAAUAUAAGGACUUUGACAGUGGAAGAGGGCGUCCAGAGCAGCAGCAGAAGGUACACCUCAUCUCUUCUUGAGCACUUACACAUUGGCAGUUGUGACUCUCUGACAUGUAUAUUUUCAAAAAACGAGUUACCUGCCACGCUUGAGUCCCUUGAAGUUGGCAAUCUACCUCCGUCUCUUAAGUCCCUUGGUGUUUGGGGAUGUUCAAAGCUGGAGUCAAUAGCAGAAAGGUUGGACAACAACACAUCUCUUGAAACAAUCGGUAUUUAUAAUUGUGAAAAUCUGAAAAUUUUACCGAGUGGUUUACAUAAUCUCCGCCAGCUUCAAGAGAUUCAGAUAUGGGAUUGUGGAAAUCUGGUGUCCUGUCCCGAAGGGGGAUUGCCUUGUGCGAAACAGAGUAAGCUCAGGAUCUAUUGGUGUGAGAGACUGGAGGCCUUACCCAAGGGAUUGCACAAUCUGACCUCUCUUCAAGAAUUAACAAUAGGAAGAGGAGUUGAGCUUCCAAGCCUUGAAGAAGAUGGCCUUCCCACCAACCUUCAUUCUCUUGCGAUUUGGGAUAAUAUGAAGAUUUGGAAGUCAACGAUUGAGUGGGGCCGGGGAUUUCACAGAUUCUCCUCUCUGCGACAACUUACAAUCGUUGGAUGUGAUGACGACAUGGUGUCAUUUCCACCAGAGCCAGAGGACAUAAGAUUGGGGACCACGCUUCCUCUUCCUGCCUCUCUAACAUCUCUAGAGAAAAUUGAGAUUAGAAAAUGUGAUGCACUGAAAUCAUUACCAGAGGCAUGGAUGUGCGACACCAAUUCCUCUCUCGAGACCUUGAAAAUUGAGCGCUGCCGUUCGUUGACAUAUAUUGCUGGAGUCCAACUACCACCGAGCCUUAAGAGGUUGGACAUCUGGAAUUGUGAUAAUAUAAGGACUUUGACAGUGGAAGAGGGCGUCCAGAGCAGCAGCAGAAGGUACACCUCAUCUCUUCUUGAGCACUUACACAUUGGCAGUUGUGACUCUCUGACAUGUAUAUUUUCAAAAAACGAGUUACCUGCCACGCUUGAGUCCCUUGAAGUUGGCAAUCUACCUCCGUCUCUUAAGUCCCUUGGUGUUUGGGGAUGUUCAAAGCUGGAGUCAAUAGCAGAAAGGUUGGACAACAACACAUCUCUUGAAACAAUCGGUAUUUAUAAUUGUGAAAAUCUGAAAAUUUUACCGAGUGGUUUACAUAAUCUCCGCCAGCUUCAAGAGAUUCAGAUAUGGGAUUGUGGAAAUCUGGUGUCCUGUCCCGAAGGGGGAUUGCCUUGUGCGAAACAGAGUAAGCUCAGGAUCUAUUGGUGUGAGAGACUGGAGGCCUUACCCAAGGGAUUGCACAAUCUGACCUCUCUUCAAGAAUUAACAAUAGGAAGAGGAGUUGAGCUUCCAAGCCUUGAAGAAGAUGGCCUUCCCACCAACCUUCAUUCUCUUGCGAUUUGGGAUAAUAUGAAGAUUUGGAAGUCAACGAUUGAGUGGGGCCGGGGAUUUCACAGAUUCUCCUCUCUGCGACAACUUACAAUCGUUGGAUGUGAUGACGACAUGGUGUCAUUUCCACCAGAGCCAGAGGACAUAAGAUUGGGGACCACGCUUCCUCUUCCUGCCUCUCUAACAUCUCUAGAGAUUUCUAGAUUUCCAAAUCUGGAACGCCUAUCUUCUUCAAUUGUUGAUCUUGAAAACCUCACUAAAUUGACACUCUAUGAUUGUCCGAAGCUCAAAUACUUUCCGGAGAAGGGCCUGCCUUCCUCACUUUUGCAAUUAAAUAUCUGGGAAUGUCCGUUGAUAGAAGAGAAGUGCAGAAAGGAUGGAGGACAAUAUUGGGACUUGUUAACCCUUAUACCGUGUGUUCUAAUAGGCUGGUAAAUCCGUUUUUGGCGAUAACACAUAGGACGACUGAUAGGACGGCUGAAAUAUUUUAUUGUUAGUAUUUUUUUUUUUAAAUUGGGCGUGUAUUAUGUGUUGGUGAUUAAUGGGUUUUCGAAAUAAAAAGAACAAAGGAGGAGGACUCUAUUAAUUAAUUAAUGAAUUAAUUUCUCAUUCUCAGCUGAUGAAACUUCAGUUUCUUAUAUUUGUCUUUUCCGCAGUAAGGUUACAUAUGUAAAAUAUUUUAUUAUUAGAAUUUUUUUAAAACUAAUUUUUUAUUAUUACUUUUAACCCGUCUUUGGUGUAAUCUUUGCUCAAAUUUCCCUUUAGAAUCCACUAUUUGAUAAAUGUAUAGAAUUCAUUCAAGUUACAGCUUCGAAUUAGAAAUGAGGAAUUUUCAUCAUACAAUAUUUAUAGGAAACCAUUUUGCCCUGCAAUGCUGUACAGUGAUUUGUAAACUUGGCCCGUAGACCAUCGGUCUUUCAUUAAGCCUACACAAAGCAGAAUUUGUCUUUUGCCCGUUGAAACUUCAGUUCCUUAUGUAAAAUAUUUUAUUAUUAGAAUUUUUUUUUCUUCUAAAUCAAGCGUGUUUGUGUAUGUAAUUUUAAAAUUCAAAUCUCAGUUGAAAACUGUUUUAAAUUAAUAAAAAAAAAUGUUAAGUACAGUAAGGGGCUCGCAUUAUUUUAGCAACGGGGGACUGUAUUAAUUAAUUAAUUAAUAGAUUAAUUUCUUAUGCGUAUCUCAUUCUUAGCUGUUGAAAUAAACGUCAGUUUUUUUUUUAUUUAGCUGUACGGUUACAUAUGUGUAAUAUUUCUCUUCAUCAGACUUCGGCAAAAAUUGUUAAUGUUCUUCUUAGUAAUUAAUUAGUACGUUAGUGUUCUUCUUUUGUUGUGUUUGUAUAACAACAAUGCUACCCAAUAUCAAUUGACCAAGUAAAUUAAACCGACCACAGUUUAUCAAAAGCAUUUUAUUAUAUAAUCUUCGUACAUGUACAUCGUCAUCAAAUCCCAUAACAACAAAAACAGAAAAUCAAAAGAAAACAAGAACAUGCCACACAAUAUCAAAAACGAAAAGAACAUUAUAACGCCAAGUAUUAUAUUUCUCUAAUUACAUUUCGGUUUUAGUGGCCUUAACUUAAAAUCUCCUCCAGAACAAUCUGCCUCUUCAACAAUAAUGUUAUAAUGUUCUUUUGAUGUUGUUGUUUUUUUAGGUGCUAAUUAAACAUAUGAGGGCUGGGCCGCGUUACAAAAUUAUUUGUAAUUUGUAAUUUAAUUGUUUAUGUGCCAUCGCUAUUAAUAUUAAUCGAGACACGGGAUGCUGGUGCUGCACUCGCGGGAUGGUGCUCGAUACUGGUGCUGCGCGCGCGGGGUGGUGCUCGAUGCUGGUGCUGCGCUGUGUUGCUCGCGGCUGGAGCUUAGGAUCUACGUUGUGGGGGCUGGAUCUGCACACUACUGUGUUGUGCGCGAGAGCUGCUGCUGCGUGGCUGUGGCUGCUGCAUUGCGUUGCGCGCGGCUGCUGCGUGGGCUGCGGGAAAGAAUUAGGGAUUUUGUGAAUUAGGGAUUUUUUUUAAUAGUGAUUUUUGAAUUUUUUUAUAAAUAAAUAUAUAAAAGAAAGAACAAAAGAAAAUCUCCUUUUUUCGUUUUUUAAAUAAAUAGAUAGAUAAAAUAAAAAAUAAAAUAAUUUUUUUAAUUCUUUUUUUUGUGAUGAAUCACUUUGAGACACCAAAACUUUCAGAAGUACUUUUUUAAUAAGCACGUGGGCACGCCUUAAAACCAUUUUACUUUAAAAAUCACAGAAGUACUUAUUAGUUAAGACGUGGGCAUGCCUUAUCAAAAAUUUUCUUCUGACCAAAAUAAGCAAACACAUUAUUUUUUUUUAAAAAAAAUCUGAAUCAAAAUUAAAAGAAGAUAUAACAAAAACCAAAAUAAAUAAAUCAUUUGGGUUGCCUCCCAAAAAGCGCCUUUAUUUUAUGUCUUUAGCUAGACACAUUUAUGCAUCAAUCUCCAUAAUUGGGAAUCUCGAGAGCCACAUCCUCCACACUAUUCAUUGAAAAACCUUCAUAAAAAAGUUUUAAGCGAUGACCGUUAACUUUAAAAACUUUGUCAGAGGUUGGACUUCGAAUCUCAACUGCACCAUGAGGAAAAACAUUAGUAACAAUAAAAGUCCAACCCAGUAAGAACAUAAUUUACCUGGAAAACAUUUAACCUUAAAAUGAAAAAGAAGAACUUUUUAACCAACAAAGAACUCCUUUCUCAAAAUCAUUCUAUCAUGAAAUGUUUUCGUUUUUUCCUUGUAAAAAACUUCCUGCACUAUAGGGUUAAUAACAUCCACAGAAAAUAUCGAAUGUUCCUCACUAGGAUAUUUCAUGGCAUCAUUCAUAUUGAAUUCUAUAACCUCUCCAUCAAACUCCAUAGUGAGAGUCCCUUUAUGUACAUCCAUUUUAGUCCUAGCAGUCUUAAGAAAAGGUCUUCCUAGCAAAAUUGGGAUAUAAUUAGAGGAGUUAUGAUCUUCCAUAUCAAGUACAUAAAAAUUAGCAGGAAAAACCAAUUCAUUAACUUGUACUAAGACAUCUUUUAAUACCCCAUCAGGAUAUGCAUUACACCUAUAAGCUAGUGGAAUUAUCACGCCAGUUUCUUUUAAUAGACCAACAUUCAAAGUUGAAUAAAUGGAACUAGGCAUGACAUUAAUAGAAGCUCCUAGAUCUAACAUAGCCUUUUCAACUCUGACAUUACCAAUUUUGCAAGGGAUAGUAAACAUACCUGGAUCCUUGCACUGAGGAGGUAGUUUCUUUUGAAGAACUGCUGAAACAUUCUCCCUCAUGUGAACUUUUUCAUCUCCUCUUAAUUUUCUCUUGGAGGUGCACAGUUCCUUAAGGACUUUAGCAUAUUGAGGUAUUUGUUUUGUAGCAUCUAAUAAAGGAAUAUUUACCUCAACCUUGCGAAAUGUCUCAAGGAUGUCUUUCUCUUGUUCCUCCUUCUUGGAUUUUGUAAACCAGCUUGGAAAAUGAGGAGGUAUCACAAUAGGUAGGGGUUUCGCUCUAGUGGGUUGCACAUCUUGAGAUUUAGGCAUCAAUUCAUUCUUCUCAAGCUCAUCUUCUACAUGCUUUAUCACUUUCUUACUAGUCUCUUGCAACUCCUUCCCACUUCUAAUGGAAAAGGAGGAGGUAUCACAAUAGGUAGGGGUUUCGCUCUGGUGGGUUGUGCAUCUUGAGAUUGAGGCAUCAAUUCAUUCUUCUCAAGCUCAUCUUCUACAUGCUUUAUCACUUUCUUACUAGUCUCUUGCAACUCCUUCCCACUUCUAAGGAUGACAGCACUAACAUUUUACUUUGGAUUCACCUCAGAUUAUGAAGGCAAUCUCCCUAAUACUUGAGACUCCAGACGGCUCACUGUAGUCGCUAAUUGACUCAUUUGGUUCUCCAAGUUCUGUACGCUUGUCGUAGUUGCCUGUUGAAAUUGUUGAGUGUUAGUCGCAAGUGAUUUAACAAUUUCUUCAAGAGAUGUACCUGACUUGGAGUUUGACUGUGGAGGUGCUGGUUGUCUUGGUGGAUACUGUUGUGGGAAUCCUGACGGCCUAACUCCAUAGCUGAAGUUGGGAUGAUCCUUCCAUCCCGAAUUAUAUGUUUGGGCAUAAGGAUCAUACCUUCUCUGAGGCAUGCCUGGAAAUCCUCCAACUGCAUUGGCUUGUUCAACGGGUUCUUCUUGAAGUGUAGGACACAUAUCAGUUGAAUGACCCAUAUUGUAACAAAUGCCACAAGUCUUCACCUGUUGCACGUUACCUACAACAAACUUUUCCACAAGAGAAGUAAGUUUAUCUAAACGUUGUUCAAUAGAAGAAAUAUUUACCUCAUUCACCUUCCUUGAAGUGAGAUCUUGCCUGCUACUAAAUUGUUGUGCGUUGGCAGCCAUAUUUGAUAUUAACUCCCUUGCUUGAGUAGGGGUCUUGUUCACCAACACACCUCCACUAGCAGCAUCUAUCAUACUCCUAUCCAUCAAUGACAGUCCUUCGUAAAAAUAUUAAAUAAGAAGUUGAUCAGAAAUCUGAUGCUGAUGACAGCAGGCACACAAUUGUUUGAAUCGCUCCUAAUACUCAUACAAAGUCUCCCCAGGAAGUUGUCAAAUCCCACAAAUGUCUUUUCUAAUGUUAGCAGCUCUUGAAGCAGGAAAAUACUUCUCGAGGAACUGCUUCUUCAAACCAUUCCACAUUGUAAUUGAUCCAGGAGGCAAGUAGUAUAACCAAUCUUUAGCUAACCCAUCUAAAGAGAACGGAAAAGCACGCAGCUUAAUCUGCUCUUCAGUCACGCCUUGUGGCCUCAUACUUGAGCACACAACAUGAAACUCCUUAAGAUGUUUAUGAGGAUCUUCACCUGCAAAACCAUGAAACUUGGGUAAUAAAUGAAUAAGACCAGACUUUAAUUCAAAAUUUACCUCCAAAUCUACAUAUUGAAUGCAGAGUGGUUGCUGAUUCAAGUCUGGUUCAGCUAACUCUCUAAGAGUUCUUUCUACAGGUGCAGGUCUAUCCAUCACUUGUUCUUCUGAAUCGCUAGAUGAUUCAACUAAAUCAGGCACCGUAUCUGUUUCAGAAAGCAAAGGCGACGAGGAUCGUUGCUUAGCUCGCUUUGUCUGCUGUCUCAGUUGGCGAGCUGUCUUCUCAAUUUUAGGAUCAAACGAAAGUGUACCUGUACGAGAAGAACGAACCAUACACCAAGUAAAACGUAAAAAAGAUUAAAUAAAUGACACCAAUCCCCGGCAANNNNNNNNNNNNNNNNNNNNNNNNNNNNNNNNNNNNNNNNNNNNNNNNNNNNNNNNNNNNNNNNNNNNNNNNNNNNNNNNNNNNNNNNNNNNNNNNNNNNNNNNNNNNNNNNNNNNNNNNNNNNNNNNNNNNNNNNNNNNNNNNNNNNNNNNNNNNNNNNNNNNNNNNNNNNNNNNNNNNNNNNNNNNNNGUGCGUUGGCAGCCAUAUUUGAUAUCAGCUCCCUUGCUUGAGUAGGGGUCUUGUUCACCAACACGCCUCCACUAGCAGCAUCUAUCAUACUCCUAUCCAUCAAUGACAGUCCUUCGUAAAAAUAUUGAAUAAGAAGAUGAUCAGAAAUUUGAUGCUGAGGACAGCUGGCACACAAUUUUUUGAAUCGCUCCCAAUACUCAUACAAAGUCUUCCCAUGAAGUUGUCUGAUCCCACAAAUGUCUUUUCUGAUGUUGGCAGCUCUUGAAGCAGGAAAGUACUUCUCGAGGAACUGCUUCUUCAAAUCAUUCCACGUUGUAAUCGAUCCAGGAGGCAAGUAAUACAACCAGUCUUUAGCUAGCCCAUCUACAGAGAACGGAAAAGCACGCAGCUUAAUCUGCUCUUCAGUCACGCCUUGUGGUCUCAUACUUGAACAUACAACAUGAAACUCCUUAAGAUGUUUAUGAGGAUCUUCACCUGCAAAACCAUGAAACUUGGGUAAUAAAUGAAUAAGACCAGACUUUAAUUCAAAAUUUACCUCCAAGUCUACAUAUUGAAUGCAGAGUGGUUGUUGAUUCAAGUCUGGUUCAGCUAACUCUCUAAGAGUUCUUUCUACAGGUGCAUCUCUAUCCAUCACUUGUUCUUCUGAAUCGCUAGAUGAUUUAACUAAAUCAGGCACUGUAUCUGUUUCAGAAAGCAAAGGUGAAGAGGAUCGUUGCUUAGCUCGCUUCGUCUGCUGUCUCAGCUGGCGAGCUGUCUUCUCAAUUUCAGGAUCAAACGAAAGUGUACCUGUACGAGAAGAACGAACCAUACACCAAGUAAAACGUAAAAAGGAUUAAAUAAAUGACACCAAUCCCCGGCAACGGCGCCAAAAUUUGAUGGUUGUCGAAGUCAACAAAAAUAAAUUCCUACUCUAAAUAAAUUGUGUAUAGUGAUUGAGCAGGGUCGUGUCCACAGAGAUCGGUAAUUAUUUAAAUCCUUUUGAAACGUAAAACGUAAAAUGGGGGAAUUGUUGACAAUAAUAAAAAUCAAAUUAAAAUAACAAGAAUGCAAAUUAAAGUUGUAAUUCAAAUUGGAGAAAGCUCUGGUUGAAGGAAUUAACUCAGCUUGAUUCGACUACUGAUCAUUGAUUCAAAUAAAUAUUAUUAUUACUUAUGAAUAGACCGAUUAUAGCUACUGAGACUCUUUAAUAGCCAAUCUCUCCUUAACUAGUUGAUAACCAAGGUACGACCAUUGGAUAUUUCCCUAAUCAAUAAACAACCCUAGAUACGAUCAUAGGAUUUAAUCAAUUGAUAGCCUAGAAAAUCGGAGAAACCUAAAUCCUAAUCAACACAUAUGAUGAUUCAUUUAAAUUAGUUUGUUUAUUCUCAUAACACAACUCACUGCUAUAUUAUUUGUCACAAACAUUAAAAUCUUCAUAUGAUGAAUCCUUUAAUUGACAAUUGAUUAAGUUGAUAAUUAAAUAGUGGCCAAUUACCUAAUUAACAAACAUAACCAUGAAACUAAUUCAGAGAAUAAACAAAUACCCAAAAAGUAAUAAAACAAUUAAAGCAUAAGAAAGAUCUCGCAGUAGUGAUGAAUCAAAGCUUCAUUAAUCUUCAACUAGAAAAAUAAGUUUAGUUCUUCAUAGAGAGAAGAAGAAAAUUAGAUCUAGGGUUUCUUUCUUUUUCUCCAAUCCAAACCCCCCCCCCCUUUUUUCACAAUAGAUUCCUCCCUUAAAUACUCUCUCUCUCGUCUCUUUUAAAGUUCUAUUUAAAAUAAAAUACUAAUAUCUGAAAUUUUAAAUUUGUAAUUACAAAAAUAACCAAAAAUACAAAACAUGUUAAACUAAAAACUGCAGGUUUGCAGUUGACAGCACGCGCCCACGCCUUAUCAACAAAGUUCUUCUGCCGCUCAUAAUUUCUUCAAGAGAACAAUCAUCCUUAAACAUCAUCUUGUAGCUCAAUUUUAUCACCAAUCAAUAGAAUUGCACCUACAAAAGUAAAUCACUAGUAAAUCACUAUUAUUAAGUGCAAAACAUCGAUAUUAAGGGAAGUAAACAAUGCAAAACUAGUGCAUAAAUUGCACUCUAACAGUCUUGAAUUACAUAUUAAUUUUCUACCGUUUACCUUUUUCAUUUUAUUAAAGUUCCACCAUUUUUAUUGCUAUUUUCUAUGUUUGCCAUUCCGCACAAAUACAUAUCCCCAAUGUAUUAGUUAUCACUUCUUAGAAAUUUUGUAAAUAUCAACAAUUAAUAUCAUUAUUCAAUCAUUUAGAAAAACCUCAUUAUUAAUGAUUAGUUUAUCUCUCAAUUAAAACUAGACACAUUGUAAAUAUGUGAACUCUAAUUAAAUCUUGAUACUUGUAAUAUAUAUGAGCCAUAUCUAAAAGAGUGAGUUUUAAUUUCGACUUCCAUUUUUUUAAAUGCUAGGUAGAUGUACUGAAUAGGAAGCAACAAAUGAAGAUGGAUUCUUUUUGCUGGACACUGGUUUUUAUUUUUCAUUUUUUCCAAUUAUUCAAUGGUGCUUGGUCCACCCAUGUCCGGUUCGUCAAGCAGACAAGCACAAGCGCGUGAAGCUUGAUAAAUUAUUGAUGGUGGUCGGGGCUGCCUCUGGCUUUUGCUUCCACUUUCGUGUAAUAAAGUGAAGUUUGCUAAAUUAUCGGUGGCGGGUCUUUUUUUGUUUUCACAUUAGAGUUAUUUCAGUUGAUGACAUAUUAAUCGUCUUGUUAUUUUUAUUAAGUAUAUGUAUUAAGUAUAAAUGAGUCGAAUUUAUGUUCAGCUAAAAUUUGUUAUAGUUUAUUUUGACACGACAGUAAUGUAACGCGACGGUAGGAAUUACCAUUGGGAUUAUAAAAAAUUGUUGCGUACUUUUAAGUCUUCGUUUUAGCAUGGAAAUUAAUUCAAUCAAUAAAGUAGUUUUAGGGCAGAAAGAGAGAGAGAGAGAAACGUUUUGAUUUAACUUGGUUUAUGAGUUUGAAGACUUGUAAAGGGAAGGUUCGUAGUAGAUACAUUCCAUUUUCCACUUUAUUCAGCAUUUACCGGGACACUGGAUUAAUGUUGCAUGGCCCUACAAAUGUCAUAUUCAUUGAAUUGCUAAAUUAUUAUAUUCAUUGAAUCUGGUAACAAGUGGUGGUGAUUGGUGAAUUGCUAAAUUAAUGGGUAGUGGGCUCUGUUUUUAUUUUCACUUUCCUGGAAUAAACAACAAGUGGAAGACUUGUUACGCGCGUUUUGCAUUUCCAAACUCAAAAUUCUGUUUCUUUCUUUGCAAAAAAAAAAAAAAAAAGGAAAAAAAGAAAAAAAAUGUCAAUCAGCGGAGAGUAGCGUAAUUAUUGGUGGUAGUACUGUCUUUUACUUCAUUUAGUGUAAUAAUCACGUUUUGUUAGUUAUGUUAUUAACUUACUAAAUAUAUACCUUGAACAAAUGAGUCGAAUUUAUUUUAUCUAAAAUUUCAUUUUACAACAAAAAUAUAACAUUAUGAUUGGACUUGGCAUUGAGAUUAAAAAAAAAUAUAGUGCACUUAUAAGAAUAAAAAGAGAGAUUAAAAUCAUUUAUUUUAACUUGCUUUUAUAAGUAGAAGACUUCUACAACAAAGAUGGAUGCAUUCUAUUUUCCUCCAUAUUCAACAUUUUUUUUUCAUUAUUCAACGUUUGAAGAAAAAAUAAGAAUUUUGAUAUUCUUAGCAUUGAAGAAUUGAUAGACUCUCUUCAAACAUUUAAGAUGAACCUUAAUUAGGGUUUUGAAAAUUAUAAAGAACAAUAUUUUAAAAGCGUUAGCUGAGUAAAUUUUAGCAUUAAUUACGAUUCCACUCUAAAUCGAAAAUGUGUAGGUUUUUCUCUUAUUAUUAUUUUUAAAAUUCUAGCAUUAAUUGCGGCUCUGUUUUUUCUUUUCUUAGCUGCAAGGAACAACAAGUGGGGAGACUUGCCACGUUUUACGUCGUAUUUUGCGUGACCCUUGACACUUAAUUACUAAGCAUUUUCAUUUUGCUCUCCAAGUGGUGGUGAUGAGUGAAUUGCCAAAUUAUUAGUCAUUGGUCAAUAAAGUAUAAACGCGUGAUUUCUAGCUGCGCCAGACCCUUCACAAUCACAAACUCAUUCUGCUUGAUUAUCCAUUUUCUCACCUGUUCAAUAUUCUCAUUCUGCUUUCCAUAACCCAUAAUUCUGCUCCUUUCUUCCUUUGCCCAAAAAAAAAAAGAAAAAAAUGUCAAUCAUCGGAGAGGCAAUCCUUACGGCGUCCGUUGAUUUGCUGGUCAAUAAGUUAGCUUCAGAUGGGAUUCUGUUUUUUGCACGCCAAGAGAAGAUCCAAGACUAUCUAAUGAAGUGGGAGAAUAUGUUGGAGAUGAUCAAGGCGGUGCUUGAUGAUGCUGAGGAGAAGAAGACGACUAAUCAGUUUGUGAAGAAGUGGCUUGGCAAGCUUCAGAACUUGGCUUAUGAUGUUGAAGACUUGUUGGAUGAGUUUCAAACUGAGGCUUUCCGGAGGAAGUUGCUGCUUGGAAAUGGAGAACCAGAUGCGGCUCAUGAUGAACCCAGUAGCAGUCAUACGAGACCAAGUAAGCUUCGGACGCUCAUUCAUACUUGCUUCACCAUUUGUACUCCACAAUCGAUUCAGUUCGAUUACGCCAUGAUGCCCAAAAUCGAAGAGAUCAACAGCAGAUUUCAACAUAUUGUAACACAGAAAAACUCGCUGGGUUUGAACGUAAGUUCAGCGGGGAGGAGCACAGGAGACAGGCAAAGACGAGAGACAACCUCUUUGGUGAAUGAAGCCAAAGUAUAUGGCAGGGAAACAGAAAAGAAGGAAAUUGUUGAAUUGUUGUUGAAGGAUGAUUCAAGAAAUGAUGGUGGGUUCGCUGUUAUUCCUAUUAUAGGUAUGGGCGGGCUGGGUAAAACCACUCUUGCUCAGCUUGUCUACAAUGAUAAGCAAGUGGAGGACCAUUUUGGUCUCAAGGCAUGGACUUGCGUCUCUGAUGAUUUUGAUCUUAUCAGGCUUACAAAAUCAAUCCUACUUUCAAUUGCUAGUGACCAGAAAGUGGAUGAUCACGACUUAAAUAAGCUUCAAGAGAAAUUGAAGAAACAACUGCUUAGAAAGAAAUUUUUGCUUGUUUUGGACGACGUAUGGAAUGAUAAUUACAAUGAUUGGGUUCAAAGGCUUUCCGGAGGAAGUUGCUGCUUGGAAAUGGAGAACCAGAUGCGGCUCAUGAUGAACCCAGUAGCAGUCAUACGAGACCAAGUAAGCUUCGGACGCUCAUUCAUACUUGCUUCACCAUUUGUACUCCACAAUCGAUUCAGUUCGAUUACGCCAUGAUGCCCAAAAUCGAAGAGAUCAACAGCAGAUUUCAACAUAUUGUAACACAGAAAAACUCGCUGGGUUUGAACGUAAGUUCAGCGGGGAGGAGCACAGGAGACAGGCAAAGACGAGAGACAACCUCUUUGGUGAAUGAAGCCAAAGUAUAUGGCAGGGAAACAGAAAAGAAGGAAAUUGUUGAAUUGUUGUUGAAGGAUGAUUCAAGAAAUGAUGGUGGGUUCGCUGUUAUUCCUAUUAUAGGUAUGGGCGGGCUGGGUAAAACCACUCUUGCUCAGCUUGUCUACAAUGAUAAGCAAGUGGAGGACCAUUUUGAUCUCAAGGCAUGGACUUGCGUCUCUGAUGAUUUUGAUCUUAUCAGGCUUACAAAAUCAAUCCUACUUUCAAUUGCUAGUGACCAGAAAGUGGAUGAUCACGACUUGAAUAAGCUUCAAGAGGAGCUGAAGAAGAAGUUAUCUCAAAAGAAAUUUUUGCUUGUUUUAGACGACGUUUGGAAUGAGAAUUACAAUGACUGGGUUGACAUGAGCCGUCCGUUUGAAGCUGGCGCACAGGGAAGUAAGAUUGUUGUCACUACUCGCAAUCAACAGGUUGCAAAAAUCAUGAGGCCGGAUCAAGCUUAUGAAUUGAAAAACUUGUCCACUGAGGAUUGUCUGUCUGUGUUUGCUCAGCACUCUUUGGGGACAAGAGAUUUCAGUUCACACAAGUCAUUGGAGGACAUUGGCAAGAAGAUAGUGAUCAAAUGCAAUGGCUUGCCCUUGGCAGCAAAAACACUGGGAGGACUUUUAUGUGGAGAACAUGACAGAGGUGUGUGGGAAGAUGUGCUCAGUAGCAAGAUAUGGGUAUUACCAGAAGAUAUAUGUCCCAUUAUACCAGCCCUUGCAGUGAGCUAUUAUUAUCUUCCUCCAAUUUUAAAACAAUGCUUUGCACACUGCUCGUUGUUUCCGAAGGAUUAUGAAUUUGAAGAGGAGGAGAUAAUUUUAUUAUGGAGUGCCGUGGGUUUCUUGGAUCACGGAGAGAGCGGGAAUCCAAGUGAAGAUCUUACUUUUUUACCAGUAAUGUUGACAAACAGUUGGCCUGGCUACUUGGCUCCUAGCAUUCUUCCUAAGUUGCUCAAACUCCAACGCUUGAGGGUCUUCUCUUUGCGUGGAUACCGCAUCCCAGAGCUGCCGGAUUCAAUUGGUGAUUUGAGGUAUUUAAGGUACCUUAACCUGUCUGGAACUGAGAUUAGCACUCUGCCUGAAUCAGUCAACAAGCUUUACAAUUUGCACAGUCUUUUGUUGGAAGAUUGUGAUCGGCUGAGGAAGUUGUGUGCAGGCAUGGGAAACCUCGCCAAAUUGCAUCAUCUUAAGAAUUCAAAUACGAAGUCGUUGGAGGAAAUGCCAGUAGGAAUUGGUAGGUUGACUAGUCUUCAGACGUUGUGUGAUUUUGUUGUGGGAGAAGGCAGUGGUUCCGGGUUACGAGAGCUAAAGUUGUUGACGCACCUUCAUGGGACACUUAACAUUUCAAAAUUGGAGAAUGUAAAAUGCAUUGGUGAUGCCAUGGAGGCUCAAAUGGAUGGAAAGAAGAAUCUGAAAGAAUUAUCGCUUAAAUGGACUUGCAGUACUGAUGGUUCUUCUUCAAGGGAGGCAGAAACUGAAAUGGGCGUGCUUGACAUGCUAAAACCUCAUACAAAUCUGGAGCAAUUUUGUAUCAAAGGCUAUGGAGGUAUGAAAUUUCCAACUUGGUUGGGAGAUUCCUCAUUCUCAAAUUUGGUGACCCUAGAAUUUGAAAAUUGUGACAUGUGUACUGCCCUGCCGUCAGUCGGGCAACUACCCUCUCUAAAGCAUCUUGCAGUAUGUGGAAUGAGCAGAGUAAAGAGGUUGGGUUCAGAGUUCUAUGGGAAUGAUGCUCCAUUUCCUUUUCCAUGCUUGGAGACUCUUCGUUUUGAAAACAUGCGAGAAUGGGAAGACUGGAUUCCUCUUAGAUCUGGUCAGGGAGUUGAAGGGUUUCCUAAAUUGAGAGAGCUUCAUCUUAUAAGCUGUUCUAAACUGCAAGGAACAUUUCCAGAGCACCUUCCUGCAUUGCAGAUGCUUGUUAUUCAAGAAUGCAAAGAAUUGUUAGUUUCAAUUACCAGUCUUCCAGCUCUUUGCAAAUUAGAGAUUGAUGGAUGUAAAGAGGUUGUGUGGGAAAGUGCAACUGAUCAUCUCGGGUCACAGAAUUCGGAGGUUUGUAGAGAAACAUCAAAUCAAGUGUUUCUCGCAGGGCCAUUAAAGCCGCGACUGCCAAAAUUGGAAGAAUUGAAGAUAAAUGAUAUGAAAGAGCAGACAUAUAUUUGGAAGAGUCAUAACGAAUUACUGCAAGACAUUUGCUCUCUCAGAAGACUGACGAUUACAAGCUGUCCCAAACUUCAAUCCUUGGUGGCGGAGGAAGAGAAAGACCAACAACAGCAGCUCUGCGAGUUGUCAUGCAGACUCGAAUAUCUAAGAUUGAGUUAUUGCGAAGGCCUUGUGAAGCUGCCACAAUCAUCUCUCAGCCUCAGUUCCUUGAGAGAGAUAGAAAUCUACAAGUGCAGUUCCCUUGUUUCCUUUCCUGAGGUUGCUCUGCCUUCCAAGUUGAAGAUAAUUGAGAUUGAAGGUUGUGACGCACUGAAAUCAUUACCAGAGGCAUGGAUGUGCGACACCAAUUCAUCUCUCGAGACCUUGUAUAUUGAGCAUUGUCGUACGUUGACAUAUCUUGCUGGAGUCCAGCUACCACGGAGCCUUAAGAGGUUGGACAUCCUUAGUUGUGAUAAUAUAAGGACUUUGACAGUGGAAGAGGGCAUCCAGAGUAGCAGCGGCAGCAGAAGGCACACCUCAUAUCUUCUUGAGAAGUUAGAAAUUUGGAAUUGUCGAUCUCUGACAUGUAUAUUUUCAAAAAAUGAGUUACCUGCCACGCUUGAGUCCCUUGAAGUUGGCAAUCUACCUCCGUCUCUUAAGUCCCUUCGUGUUGAGAGGUGUUCAAAGCUGGAGUCAAUAGCAGAAAGGCUGGACAACAACACAUCUCUUGAAACAAUCAAUAUUUGGAGGUGUGAAAAUCUGAAAUUUUUACCGAGUGGUUUACAUAAUCUCCGCCAGCUUCAAGAGAUUCAUAUAUGGAAUUGUGGAAAUCUGGUGUCCUUUCCCGAAGGGGGAUUGCCUUGUGCGAAACUCACGAGGCUGACGAUACAUGAUUGUAAGAGACUAGAGGCCUUACCCAAGGGAUUGCACAAUCUGAC